rnacentral:rRNA from 1 species
GACGAACCGUGCGAACGUUGUUCGGAAUCACUGGGCUUAAAGGGCGCGUAGGCGGCUCUGUCAGUCUCGGGUGAAAUCUUUCGGCUCAACCGGAAACGUGCCUGGGAUACUGCAGAGCUGGAGGGAGGUAGGGGCGGACGGAACUUCCGGUGGAGCGGUGAAAUGCGUUGAUAUCGGAAGGAACGCCGGUGGCGAAAGCGGUCCGCUGGACCUCUACUGACGCUGAGGCGCGAAAAGCCAGGGGGAGCAAACGGG